CACCUCUACCCCAGCCGCUCAGAAACAGCGGAGGAGAGCAGGGCCGUGCUCACUGAUUGGUCCCUCGGUGGAGCGGGCCGGACCGGGCGUUCCCUUUGGAGCCAAUCAGAAAGGCGAGAGACCGAAUUGGCCGCUGCGCCUCCUCCCGAGGCAUGCUGGGAGCCUGGAGGACUAGCGAGGAGGAGUUGAGAGAACGGAGCGGACGCCAUGGCGACCAACAUCGAGCAGAUUUUUAGGUCUUUCGUGGUCAGCAAAUUCCGGGAAAUUCAACAGGAGCUUUCCAGUGGAAGGAAUGAAGGCCAGCUGAAUGGUGAAACAAAUACACCCAUUGAAGGAAACCAGGCGGGUGAUGCAGCUGCCUCUGCCAGGAGUCUACCAAAUGAAGAAAUAGUGCAGAAGAUAGAGGAAGUACUUUCUGGGGUCUUAGAUACAGAACUACGAUAUAAGCCAGACUUGAAAGAGGCCUCCAGAAAAAGUAGAUGUGUAUCUGUACAAACAGAUCCUACUGAUGAAAUUCCCACUAAAAAGUCAAAGAAGCAUAAAAAGCAUAAAAACAAAAAGAAGAAAAAGAAGAAAGAGAAGGAAAAAAAAUACAAAAGACAGCCAGAAGAAUCUGAGGCAAAGACGAAAUCUCAUCAUGAUGGGAACAUAGAUUUAGAAUCUGAUUCCUUUUUAAAGUUUGAUUCUGAACCUUCAGCUAUGGCGCUGGAGCUUCCUACAAGAGCAUUUGGCCUGUCUGAGACCAAUGAAUCCCCUGCAGUUGUGCUAGAACCUCCUGUAGUAUCAGUGGAGGUACCAGAGCCACACAUCUUAGAAACUCUGAAGCCAGCUACAAAAACUGCAGAACUGUCAGUUGCAUCUACAUCAGUAAUCUCAGAGCAGUCAGAGCAGUCUGUGGCAGUAACGCCAGAACCAUCCAUGACAAAGAUUCUGGAUUCCUUUGCAGCAGCACCAGUGCCUACUACAACAGUGGUGUUGAAGUCAUCUGAGCCAGUCGUAACAAUGUCAGUGGAGUAUCAGAUGAAGUCUGUGCUGAAAUCUGUGGAGAGCACAUCUCCAGAGCCAUCCAAGAUCAUGUUGGUAGAGCCCCCAGUAGCAAAAGUGUUAGAGCCUUCAGAAACCCUUGUGGUAUCAUCAGAGACACCUACUGAGGUGUACCCUGAGCCAAGCACAUCAACAACAAUGGAUUUUCCAGAGUCAUCUGCAAUUGAAGCGCUAAGAUUGCCAGAGCAGCCUGUAGACGUACCAUCGGAGAUUGCAGAUUCAUCCAUGACAAGACCGCAGGAGUUGCCGGAGCUGCCUAAGACCACAGCGUUGGAGCUGCAGGAGUCGUCGGUGGCCUCAGCGAUGGAGUUGCCGGGGCCACCUGCGACCUCCAUGCCGGAGUUGCAGGGGCCCCCUGUGACUCCAGUGCCGGAGUUACCUGGGCCCUCUGCUACCCCGGUGCCAGAGUUGCCAGGGCCCCUUUCUACCCCAGUGCCUGAGUUGCCAGGGCCCCCUGCGACAGCAGUGCCUGAGUUGCCAGGGCCCUCUGUGACACCAGUGCCACAGUUGUCGCAGGAAUUGCCAGGGCUUCCAGCACCAUCCAUGGGGUUGGAGCCACCACAGGAGGUACCAGAGCCACCUGUGAUGGCACAGGAGUUGCCAGGGCUGCCUUUGGUGACAGCAGCAGUAGAGUUGCCAGAGCAGCCUGCGGUAACAGUAGCAAUGGAGUUGACCGAACAACCUGUGACGACGACAGAGUUGGAGCAGCCUGUGGGGAUGACAACGGUGGAACAUCCUGGGCAUCCUGAGGUGACAACGGCAACAGGGUUGCUGGGGCAGCCUGAGGCAACGAUGGUGCUGGAGUUGCCAGGACAGCCAGUGGCAACAACAGCGCUGGAGUUGCCGGGGCAGCCUUCGGUGACUGGGGUGCCAGAGUUGCCAGGGCUGCCUUCGGCAACUAGGGCACUGGAGUUGUCGGGGCAGCCUGUGGCAACUGGGGCACUAGAGUUGCCUGGGCCGCUCAUGGCAGCUGGGGCACUGGAGUUCUCGGGGCAGUCUGGGGCAGCUGGAGCACUGGAGCUUUUGGGGCAGCCUCUGGCAACAGGGGUGCUGGAGUUGCCAGGGCAGCCUGGGGCGCCAGAGUUGCCUGGGCAGCCUGUGGCAACUGUGGCGCUGGAGAUCUCUGUUCAGUCUGUGGUGACAACAUCGGAGCUGUCAACGAUGACCGUGUCGCAGUCCCUGGAGGUGCCCUCGACGACAGCGCUGGAAUCCUAUAAUACGGUAGCACAGGAGCUGCCUACUACAUUAGUGGGGGAGACUUCUGUAACAGUAGGAGUGGAUCCCUUGAUGGCCCCAGAAUCCCAUAUAUUAGCUUCUAACACCAUGGAGACCCAUAUAUUAGCAUCCAACACCAUGGACUCCCAAAUGCUAGCGUCCAACACCAUGGACUCCCAGAUGCUAGCAUCCAACACCAUGGACUCCCAGAUGUUAGCGUCUAGCACCAUGGACUCCCAGAUGUUAGCAACUAGUACCAUGGACUCCCAAAUGUUAGCAACUAGCUCCAUGGACUCCCAGAUGUUAGCAACUAGCACUAUGGACUCCCAGAUGUUAGCAACCAGUUCCAUGGACUCCCAGAUGUUAGCAACCAGCUCCAUGGACUCCCAGAUGUUAGCAACCAGCUCCAUGGACUCCCAGAUGUUAGCAACCAGCUCCAUGGACUCCCAGAUGUUAGCAACCAGCACCAUGGAUUCUCAGAUGUUAGCAACCAGCACCAUGGACUCCCAGAUGUUAGCAACUAGCUCAAUGGAUUCCCAGAUGUUAGCAUCUGGCACUAUGGACUCUCAAAUGUUAGCUUCUGGCACCAUGGAUGCUCAGAUGUUAGCGUCUGGUACCAUGGAUGCCCAGAUGUUAGCAUCUAGUACCCAAGAUUCUGCUAUGUUGGGUUCAAAAUCUCCUGAUCCCUAUAGGUUAGCUCAGGAUCCUUACAGGUUAGCUCAGGAUCCCUAUAGGUUGGGCCAUGACCCCUAUAGAUUAGGUCAUGAUGCUUACAGGUUAGGACAGGACCCUUAUAGAUUAGGCCAUGAUCCCUACAGACUAACUCCUGAUCCCUAUAGGAUGUCACCUAGACCCUAUAGGAUAGCACCCAGGUCCUAUAGAAUAGCACCCAGGCCAUAUAGGUUAGCACCUAGACCCCUGAUGUUAGCAUCUAGACGUUCUAUGAUGAUGUCCUAUGCUGCAGAACGUUCCAUGAUGUCAUCUUACGAACGCUCUAUGAUGUCUUAUGAGCGGUCUAUGAUGUCCCCUAUGGCUGAGCGCUCUAUGAUGUCAGCCUACGAGCGCUCUAUGAUGUCAGCCUAUGAGCGCUCUAUGAUGUCCCCUAUGGCUGAGCGCUCUAUGAUGUCAGCUUAUGAACGCUCUAUGAUGUCAGCUUAUGAACGCUCCAUGAUGUCCCCAAUGGCUGAUCGAUCUAUGAUGUCCAUGGGUGCCGACCGGUCUAUGAUGUCGUCAUACUCUGCUGCUGACCGGUCUAUGAUGUCAUCGUACUCUGCAGCUGACCGAUCUAUGAUGUCAUCUUAUACUGCUGAUCGUUCAAUGAUGUCUAUGGCUGCUGAUUCUUACACCGAUUCUUACACUGACACAUAUACAGAGGCAUAUAUGGUGCCACCUUUGCCUCCUGAAGAGCCCCCAACAAUGCCACCGUUGCCACCUGAGGAGCCACCAAUGACACCACCGUUGCCUCCUGAGGAACCACCAGAGGGUCCAGCAUUGCCCACUGAGCAGUCAGCAUUAACAGCUGAAAAUACGUGGCCUGCAGAGGUGCCAUCAUUACCUUCUGAAGAGUCUGUAUCGCAGCCUGAGCCUCCUGUGAGUCAAAGUGAGAUUUCAGAGCCUUCAGCAGUGCCUACUGAUUAUUCAAUGUCAGCAUCAGAUCCCUCAGUUUUAGUAUCAGAGGCUACUGUGACUGUUCCAGAACCACCGCCAGAGCCAGAAUCUUCAAUUACAUCAACACCUGUAGAGUCUGCGGUAGUAGCAGAAGAACAUGAAGUUGUUCCAGAGAGACCAGUGACUUGUAUGGUGUCUGAAACUCCCACAGUGUCAGCUGAACCAACUGUGGUAGCAUCAGAGCCUCCUGUUUUGUCAGAGACAGCAGAAACAUUUGAAUCCAUGAGAGCCUCAGGAUAUGUUGCCUCAGAGGUAUCUACAUCCUUGUUGGAGCCAGCAGUAACUACUCCAGUGCUGGCAGAGAGCAUUCUGGAGCCUCCAGACAUGGCUGUCCCAGAGUCUUCGGCUAUGGCUGUCCUGGAGUCUUCGGCUGUGACCGUCCUGGAGUCUUCAACUGUGACCGUCCUGGAGUCUUCGACUGUGACUGUCCUGGAGCCUUCGGUUGUGACUGUCCCGGAGCCUCCUGUUGUGGCUGAGCCAGACUAUAUUACCAUUCCUGUGCCAGUUGUUUCUGUGCUGGAGCCUUCUGUGCCUGUCUUGGAACCAGCGGUGUCAGUCCUUCAACCUUCUAUGAUUGUUUCAGAACCAUCUGUUUCUGUCCAGGAGUCUACUGUGACAGUUUCAGAGCCUGCUGUCACUGUCUCAGAGCAGACUCAAGUAAUACCAACUGAGGUGGCUAUAGAGUCCACACCAAUGAUACUGGAAUCUAGUAUCAUGUCAUCACAUGUUAUGAAAGGAAUUAAUCUACCCUCUGGUGAUCAAAAUCUUGCUCCAGAGAUUGGCAUGCCGGAGAUUCCUUUGCAUUCAGGUGAAGAGCCACAUGCUGAGGUACACCUGAAAAGUGACUCUUAUGAAAGUGAACAUGGUAUAAAUAUAGACCUUAAUAUAAAUAAUCAUUUAAUUGCUAAAGAAAUGGAACAUAAUACAGUGUGUGCUGCUAGUACUAGUCCUGUUGGGGAAAUUGGUGAAGAGAAAAUUUUGCCCACCAGUGAGACUAAACAGUGCACAGUAUUGGAUAACUACCCUGGUGUUAGUGAAGCUGAUGCAGGAGAAACUCUAUCUUCUACUGGUUCUCUUGCUCUGGAACCUGAUGCAACAGGAACUAGUAAGGGUAUUGAAUUUAUCACAACAUCUACUCUCAGUUCAGUUAAUAAAUAUGAUAUUGAUGUAUCUUUAACUACUCAAGAUACUGAACAUGACAUGGUAAUUUCUACCAGUCCUAGUGGUGGUAGUGAAGCUGACAUUGAAGGGCCUUUGCCUGCUAAAGAUAUUCAUCUUGAUUUACCAUCUAAUAAUAACCUUGUUAGUAAGGAUACAGAAGAACCAUUACCUGUAAAAGAGAGUGACCAGACGUUAGCAGCUCUGCUCAGCCCUAAAGAAAGUAGUGGAGGAGAAAAAGAAGUACCUCCCCCUCCUAAAGAGACACUGUCUGAUUCAGGAUUUUCUGCCAAUAUUGAGGAUAUUAAUGAAGCAGAUUUAGUGAGACCAUUACUUCCUAAGGACAUGGAACGUCUUACAAGCCUUAGAGCUGGCAUUGAAGGACCUUUACUUGCAAGUGAUGUUGGACGUGACAAAUCUGCUGCCAGCCCGGUUGUAAGUAGUAUGCCAGAAAGAGCUUCAGAGUCGUCUUCAGAGGAAAAAGAUGAUUAUGAAAUUUUUGUAAAAGUUAAGGACACUCAUGAAAAAAGCAAGAAAAAUAAGAACCGUGAUAAGGGUGAGAAAGAGAAGAAAAGAGACUCUUCAUUAAGAUCUCGAAGUAAGCGUUCCAAGUCUUCUGAACACAAAUCACGCAAGCGUACCAGUGAAUCUCGUUCUCGGGCAAGGAAGAGAUCAUCUAAGUCCAAGUCUCAUCGCUCUCAAACACGUUCACGGUCACGUUCAAGACGCAGGAGGAGGAGCAGCAGAUCAAGAUCAAAGUCUAGAGGAAGACGAUCUGUAUCAAAAGAGAAGCGCAAAAGAUCUCCAAAGCACAGAUCCAAGUCUAGGGAAAGGAAAAGAAAAAGAUCAAGCUCCAGGGAUAACCGAAAGACAGUUAGAGCUCGAAGUCGAACCCCAAGUCGCCGGAGUCGGAGUCAUACUCCAAGUCGUCGACGAAGGUCUAGAUCUGUGGGUAGGAGAAGGAGCUUUAGCAUUUCCCCAAGCCGCCGGAGCCGCACCCCAAGCCGCCGCAGCCGUACCCCCAGCCGCCGGAGCCGCACCCCCAGCCGUCGAAGCCGUACCCCCAGCCGCCGGAGCCGCACCCCCAGUCGUCGGAGCCGCACCCCAAGCCGCCGGAGAAGAUCGAGGUCUGUGGUAAGACGACGAAGCUUCAGUAUCUCACCAGUCAGAUUAAGGCGAUCAAGAACACCCUUGAGAAGAAGGUUUAGCAGAUCUCCCAUCCGUCGUAAAAGAUCCAGGUCUUCUGAACGAGGCAGAUCACCCAAACGUCUGACAGAUUUGGAUAAGGCUCAAUUACUUGAAAUAGCCAAAGCUAAUGCAGCUGCCAUGUGUGCUAAGGCUGGUGUCCCUUUACCGCCAAACCUAAAGCCUGCACCUCCACCUACUAUAGAAGAGAAAGUUGCUAAAAAGUCAGGAGGAGCUACUAUAGAAGAACUAACUGAGAAAUGUAAACAGAUCGCACAGAGUAAAGAAGAUGAUGAUGUAAUAGUGAAUAAACCUCAUGUUUCGGAUGAAGAGGAAGAAGAACCUCCUUUUUAUCAUCAUCCCUUUAAACUCAGUGAACCCAAACCUAUUUUUUUCAAUCUGAAUAUUGCUGCAGCAAAACCAACUCCACCAAAAAGCCAGGUAACAUUAACAAAAGAAUUCCCUGUAUCAUCUGGAUCUCAACAUCGGAAAAAAGAAGCGGAUAGUGUUUAUGGAGAAUGGGUUCCUGUAGAGAAAAAUGGUGAAGAAAACAAAGAUGAUGAUAAUGUUUUCAGCAGCAAUUUGCCCUCAGAGCCUGUGGACAUCUCUACAGCAAUGAGUGAACGAGCACUUGCUCAGAAAAGACUCAGUGAGAAUGCAUUUGACCUUGAAGCCAUGAGCAUGUUAAAUAGAGCUCAGGAAAGGAUUGAUGCCUGGGCUCAGCUGAACUCUAUUCCUGGCCAGUUCACAGGAAGUACAGGAGUACAGGUUUUGACACAAGAACAGUUGGCCAAUACUGGUGCCCAAGCCUGGAUUAAAAAGGAGUGUUCCCUGGAAAAGAGGGACGGAUGAACCUGGAAGUAAGUAAAAGACAUUCUAGGUGUGUAGCAUCAAGGCAGUUAAUAUCCAAGCAUCAGCUUUCUCUUUAUACAUCUACACUGCAUGGCCUGCACCAAAUAAGGAACUGAACCAGGGGUAUGUUUUUACCUCCACAGCUGCCUCCUUCCAUCAGAGCAUCUUGAUGAACUUAAUGUCUAGUCACACAUCAUUGGCAUGUUUUCUCCCCAGCAUUUAAUUAUAAAGCUGGGAAACAAAAGAUGAUAGUUUUACUACUGCAUACAAACAUGUUUUUUUUUUUUUUUACAUUCAGUAUUAACUUAUCAAUAUAGGAGAUGUGAAUACAUACUAUUUCCUGAGCUACCAAAGUUUUUUUACUCUGUUGAUAAGUUAAUGACUUUUGCUAUAUGUAUAUUUAUAUAUAUAUUUGGUAGAGAACAUAAAAACAUAAAAUUUAGUAACAAGGGGAAAAUAAAGCAUGAUCUGGAGAUACAUGUUUCAAAUUUUUAAAAAGUGGCCAUAAAGAUCAACAGUAGAAUUUAAUACUGUUAUAUGUACAUGGAUGCCCUUUAAUAAGAGGCAUUGAAUAUUUCUUAACCUGUAAAAAUAAGUGUUGAUCAUGCUAAUGUAUAUACUUGUGCAUCUUAGGACAUUAAGUGGUUUGCUGCUUUGAUGGAAAUUAUGGUUCAGUGGGUUGGAUACAAGAGAGAUGAUUGUUCACAGAAUAACCUGUGAACUUUCACCCCUCUGUAUGGAAACUUGUUUCAGGGCCAAAUCCUUGUAGCUGUCUUCUUGCCCCGGUCAGUGCCAGCCGUACUAUUCACAACAUUGCUGCUACCGAGGCCUAGGAUCAGUUCUUAAGAGCAGCCCCGGUAACUGGAGGAAUGGGAGCCGUUUUGAUGAGAAAAAUGGGCUGGAGAGAAGGAGAAGGAUUAGGAAAAAACAAAGAAGGCAAUAAGGAACCCAUUCUAGUUGAUUUUAAGACAGACCGAAAAGGUCUUGUUGCAGUAGGAGAAAGAGCACAAAAGAGGUCUGGGAACUUCUCUGCUGCAAUGAAAGAUCUGUCAGGCAAACAUCCUGUGUCUGCUUUGAUGGAAAUCUGUAAUAAGAGAAGGUGGCAACCACCUGAAUUUCUGUUGGUCCAUGAUAGUGGCCCUGAUCAUCGCAAACAUUUUCUUUUUAGGGUAUUGAGAAAUGGAAGCCCUUACCAGCCCAAUUGUAUGUUUUUCUUGAAUAGGUAUUGAUAAAUGGAAGCGCUUACCAGCCCAGCUUUGCCAGCCCUAAUAAGAAGCAUGCUAAAGCCACAGCAGCUACUGUGGUUCUUCAAGCAAUGGGCCUUGUACCAAAGGACCUCAUGGCUAAUGCCACUUGCUUCAGGAGUGCCUCACGUAGAUAGAUUGAGGUUUUAUAAUAAUCAUUUCAGAUAAUUUUACUCUGCAUCACAAUGUAUUUCCUCUUUAAUGUUGUAAAUAUUUGGCAAUUUAAGACAUUGUGUAAAAAGCAAUCUGUAAAAACAUCUCCAGGCUUUGAUUUUUGUACCAUGGAAAUUGUAUUUAACCAUACAGGGUUUUGGUAUGUUUAUAUUGUUUACCUUAGUGAUGUAUUUGUUUAAGUGGCUAACAUCCAAACGAUUGUUUGAAGGCAUCAGAGUAAUCUUCAGUGUGGAAUGUUAAAUAACGCUUUUAUACUGUAUUUUGUACUAUGAUGUAACUCCCCUUCCUUAUGGCUAGGCUACUGUAACACUUGCCUGUAAUCAGUGAAGGGCUGUGCACCUUGUACUAUUUCACAAUGGGUUCUGCUGGACAGAUACUGGGCCAGUGUUAUUGAGGUGAUCAAGAUCUGUUCCACAGGGCUAUUGCCACAAUCUCCCCUCAAAAUUUUGUAGAGGUUCUAAAAAGAAAGUGGUAUGUUGUGUGAUGAUCAGCACUAAGUCCUGCAUUCCUGUUAAAGCCACUUGGGUCAUAAGAAGGGAGUAAAAAAUGAAGUCUGACUAGAAUUCUACUAUUGCAGAGGCCAAGUACAUUUAGUAUGGCAUUGAGUUGUGAUAUAGUUUUACUUUGAUGUGCAUUUUGAAUUUCAGCUACACCUAGAUAGACGUAAAAUGAUAAUUAAAAUGCUGUAACCAACUUAUCUAAUAAAAUUGGCAACCAGCCACUAUUUUGUUGACUAUGAGAAAGUUAAAGUUUAUGUUAAUUUUUAGGGUCCGAUAGAAUAUUUCAUGUGUAUUACAGUGGUAUUCAUAUGCUAUGUCUCUAAACUUUAUUUUCAAAAGCUUAAGGCCCAAAUACAAACUUCUCUGGAAUAAA